UUCAUGCAUAUAUCUAACAGAAUAACAUCAUCUAAUAUAACACACGUACAACUGUGUUUCAGACUGCCAGCAGCAACAAAACUCCAGACGUGGAUUCCCAAUCUAUACUACCAGCAGUAACUGUUAGCUACACGGUUCAUGUGCCCAGGAGAGCCGAAGAAGUUGAUGAAGCAAUGUCAAGCUUUGAAAACGAAGAAAAGAGGCACGUGAGUGAUUGUUUCAAGUCCAUCAAACCGUCAUCCCCACUUAGCUUAUGUGUCAAUGAAAUAACUAUUUUCGUAUAUUUUUUCCUACUUUCAACUUCGGUUGUCUUUAAUUAUCUGCAAACUAUCUCCCACCAGGAGAAGAAUUACUUGAUUUUUAAAUAAAGGAGAACGUUGAUGGGUCUUUGCAUUUCGUGAAAAUAAGCAUGUCUUUUGCUUCAUGCAUGAGAACAUGUUCAGAUAGUUACAUGGCAUCGACAUUAAACAAUGCAACAAAGAAACCAACUAAAAUCCAAUAGCCACCAAAACAAAACAAAAACCCCAGAAAAAGUGACACAAGCACACCAUCAUAUGUUCCUCGGUGGGAAUUGGGAUGCAGACAACUAAAUACAAAAAAUAUAUAUGUAUCAACUGGUCUUCGUUCACAAAGCGUCAUACACGUAAUCAACAACAAACAACUGCCUCCCUACUAAUUCCACCACCUCCGACCCUCUGCUUUGCCAAAUAACUGCACGCACCAACACAAAUGUAAGAACAACAUAACUAACAACGCUAACACUAAGUAAAACUGAACAUCAACAACAUACACAAAUAACUUCGCGCUUGUGCGGGGCUCGGCCUCUAGUUACCUAUGACUCAAAUAAUACAUGUAAUGAAUAUACUAACUCAUAAACUUUCUUAAUUACUAGAAUACACAGGGGUGACGAAAAUACAAAAAAAACCAGGCUUCCUUUUAUUAUUAACAAAAUUGCCAUUGGAUUAAUUUAAUAGGAAAAUGUAUAAUAUUUUCCAAAAACAAAACCCUUUUGUCUAGACUCGUCUUCUUCACACAUAGAACCUCCAUCUCCCACAACUUCGCAGCAGUUUUGCGUUUCGUCACCUCCUCCCUAAGUCGGCAUCGUCCCUGUACAUGAUGAACCCUAACUCCGAAAGAGGAGAAUCUCCUUCUGAAUUCAUCAACCAAUACUCUGUUGGCCACAAGCUGACAAAGGACAGAAAAUACGAUUCAGGCAGGUUCUCUGGACUUCUUCUGUCUUCAAGUGGCUCACCUAGAUUGGGGUUUUCCAGGAGCCCCAGUAGAUUAUCUUCUCAAGAUGAUUUGGACGACCCUGAUAAAAAAUAUUAAAUAAAUGUUGUAUAUAAAUUUUUUUAUUUAAAAGUUUUAGUUCAGUGUGGAUUCAUUUUUUCAUUAUCAAAUAAAACUAUAUAUACCAAAAUACAUGUUUCAAAUCGAUUUCUUUGUUAGAUGGGAUA